rnacentral:lncRNA from 1 species
UUUGUUCAUGAUGACAUGCGUAAAUCUCCUCAAAUCAUAUAUCAUUAAAUUUUGGCGCUUGGUUUGGUCACAUUGACGUGAACCAAUUUGUCUUAAAACUAGCGUUUGUUCCCAUAUUGACACAAACCAGGGAAUCUUUCUUCAUAUUUGCCAGAUGUGUUCUUACUUCUUGGUUGGUUAUAUUGACACAAUCAUGGAUUUUUCUCCUCAUAACUCUUGGUUUGGUUACAUUGACACAAACCAAGUUGUUAUAAAAAAUUGACAUCUUGAUAAAAUAUUGGCCCUUGGUUUGGUUAUAUUGACACAAAUCAAGUGGCACUAAGAAACAUGAUCAUGAUGGUAUUAUCUAAAUAUCUCUAAAUUCACAUAUCAUUAAAUUGGGCCUCUUGGUUUGGUCACAUUGACAUGAACCAAGUUGCACUAAAACUAUUUAACUUGAUAAAAUCAUGCCUUUGGUUUGGUCAUAUUGACACAAACCAAGGUGUACUCUAAAUGUAUCUAGAGAUAAAUAUUGUGCUUGGUUUGGUCAUAUUGACAUAAGCCAAGUCACUUCAAAUGUAUAUCACUAAAUCAUGUUGCAUCCUCCAUAUGUGUCAUUUAUCCUAUGAUGCAAAGUAAGAUAAAAUCAAAUAGUACGCCUAACUAAACCAAAACUAUGUUACCACACCAAAUAUUUUGGUAGUAAAAUAAAUGAAGCUCGCCAAGUAAAUGUGUUAACUCAAACAAAAUAUUGUAUGACAAGCAUACCAUGCAUUGCUUAAAUUCUCGUGCAUGUAGGAAAUACCACGCACAUGAUCCUAUAGCCCCUUUAGUGCAUGCGACAAUUAAUCAUUAAGGAAAAUCAUAUAGUAUAAUCAAAAGUACAAUCCGCUUAUGAUAAAACAAACAUAAAGGUUGAUGAAUUGAUCGGGCAUAUGAAAUAACCCAUGCAUGCACUUAGGAAUAUUUCGCAUGAUCAAACUAAUGUGAGUAAAAUCAAGUAAAUAUGAUGGUUAAAUUAUAUCAUGUAUAUAUUACCAAACAUCAUGAUUAUUUGAAGAAGAUUAACUGCUCCUUCCAACAUCCGGCGUCAAUGUCAUAUAAAAAUAUAUUUAUAAAAUGUUCCAAUGCUAUAAGAGCCUAAACUGUUAGCAUCACAAAAAUCACAUGUCACAAACCCAUUUUACUUGGUUACGCUACACACGGACACGGUAUGAGUGUUACGUGGUGUUAGUAAUAAUACAAGUAAGAUAAAUCCAAAUAAAUUGAUAAAGCCAUUCAAGCAUGCAUACAUGUACUGCCAAUAUCAGUAUAAGUCGAAGAAACAUAUAAAAUGAAAGGCAUUACAUGUGAUAACGUCAACAAAGUUUAAAGCUCCCCCGAGCAUGCCGGCAUUGACGACAGCGAGGAGGAUCUUCCAUUUUUUUUAGUUUGUAAUAGUCAUAUGUGAUGUAAUCCUUUGUAUUAGAAAUGUUGGAAUUCUUAAUCAGGGGUUUUCUCUUCGGAGAUGUAAUUAACUGUUCUUUUAUGUAAAUGUAAGAGUGCUGGAAAUAAAGUACCCG